AACCUCUUCUUUUAGAAAAUUCACGUCCAAUUACCUAACAGAACUCUUCGACCUUGACCAUGGUCUGGAUGACUGAGAAUCUUCAUAGACCAGCAGUACCACUGGAAAUCUUGGGGGCAGUGUUGAGCAGUAUAGCUCAGGUGAACCCAUCGAUAGAACAGCAGGAAGGAGACGUCAGACAUGAUGGAACGCACCACCGCCGUCUCCUGCACUGACUUUGUUCGGACCUGUUUCUGAUCAGGCGCGUUAUCAACACCUCUUCCACUGUCGCCAUGAAGUCAACAUCGCCUCCUAGUGGAGGUGUCAUUCGUCCACAGUUUCUACAUCAGGAGUUCUUCUGAACACCAUCUCUACCCACUGAGGUUGGAAGUUGUGCUGGAGAUGGGAUUCAAACCCACGACGUAGUAGAGCAGGCGCGGAGCCCCGUCUUCUUUACAGAGGUUUUCUUUUUUUUAUUGUUUUUGUGUCAGUGCGUCUGUGCCUCAGUAGUUAGAGUUGUGAGUAGCAGUGGAGUCGGCUGGUAAAGAGCAUCUGGGCUGCGAUUGGCUGUGACAGAAGAGCAGGAGGCGGAGCUCCGGGGAGAUACUGCUGGAGAAAGCUGAGUAAAUCCAGGGGUUGGUGCAUGAGUUCAGACUGGCCAACAACAUCAACAAGGUGGUGCUAUAUCUACACCUCAUGUAUGAGUGGAGUGCAGACAGAAGAUUCCCCAGACCUGCAACUGGGGACAGACGGCAGCCAAGAGAGUGUGUGUGUGACAUCUAAGGUGAGAUUAAAAAGUGUGGGGCAGUUGGAGUGAAAGUGCCCCACCUGCUGGCUGGCAGAGGGGUUUCUCCAGGAACUCCUGGACCACAAGCCUUAAACUUCUAAUUAGUAUUCAAAUGAACGGUAAGGCUGCAAGCACAGCACCAUUGACUUUCAAUGACCUGGUCUACAACUCACCGUUCUGAGGGGGGUUGGGGUCCCAGGCGGCCCACAGUUGGACACAGAAGAACGGGGACCAGCAGAGUGAAUAAACAAUCACUAUGACCAGCGUCAUUUUCACAGUCUUAGACAUGGCUGCUGACACCCCUCCAUCACGAAAAGCGGGGGGGUUGUGCGUGGGAUGGCAGACAGCAGAGGGCGCUGCAGGGUCAGACGACGCCUCCUGCUGCAGGUCAGCUGCCAGGGCAGAGACACAAGGGUUUCAGGACCAACCAUGUGUAAAACCACCAACCUUCCACACUGUCUUUUCUCUUCAUUGCUAUAAAAGAACAUCAUGUUUUGAGGACUUACUUUUUUUUUUUGUCUGUGUUACUGUGUAGUGUAGUAGCACGCAACGUCUGUGUGACUCCUACCAGGUUGAUCAGCACUGAAGCUGCGACGAUUACAGAUCAAACUGACGGAGGUGGCUGUGACGGGGCCCAGAGGAGGGUGCUGACAGGUGGACUCUGGGUCGUAGCUGGUGCUUCCAGCUGGGUUGUUGUUCAAAGGAGCUCCAACGUCCUGGGAGACGCUGUACUUCCCACUGUUGUCUCCCCCUUCACCCGCUCUCUGGCUGUUCUGUCUGGAUGGAGGAGGAGGCGCGGCCAGAGACACACGACAAUCUGACUUCAAAUACAGACUGUUGUGGAUCUCCUUGAAGAUUCGGACCUGGACGGAAAUAAAAUGGCAUCCGAUAACUUUGUCACCGACUGUAAAUAUUGAGAGUACUAUACUUUAAAACUAUUAUGAGAAAAACUUGAAUGACGUACUUUAUCGUCUAAUCCUCAUCACAAACUGCAGUUGUUUGGCUACUACAGUAUCCAAGCGGAAUAGAUAGAAAAUCAUACUGGAACCUGAAACUGUUACUAAUGUGAGAAUGUGUCUGCCUGUGGCUCAGUGUAGCAUUCAUGACAUGAUUCAUAAUUCAUUACUAGGCAACGGGGAAUAAAAGUACAUGUGAUCAUUCUGACUGUCACAGUGUCCCUGUCCUCUGUACCUGGCACACGGUGAUGGUGAAGGCGGGGAGGAUGAAGACGGCCAGGGUCAUCCAGGUCACGUAGGCCUUCAGGCCCCAGGACUCGGCAAAGUUUCCCCAACACUCAUACACGCCUGGAGCUACUUCAGAGCGGGAGAAAAUGAAAACCUGUAGAGCAGUGUGGGACAAACAUUCAUGUGACGGCGUCUUACUUUGACUAAGUUUGAUUAUUCAUUUGUUCAUCUCUUAUUCAUCCUAGUUUUUUAUGACGAGGUACAGCUUAGAUAUAUUUGUAUGUUUGCACAUUCGGUUUGUUUUUUCUUGCUAUAAAGUUAUUAAAUUUUUUUAAACAAUUAAUCAUGAAGGAAAACGUGAAAUAUAUUUAUUAAAUUGGACUUUUCACACCCCAACUCUAAGUAUUUGACAACAGGUUGUUUAUCCUGACCAUAUAUUUUCCAGUUCACUUUGCCAUGUAUUUUCUACCUAAAAAAACUAAUCUCAACAUUCUUUGUCCCUAGAGUUUAGUGUGUGUUUUCAGUACAGUGCCAAAACUUUCAAAAAUGUAAAUGAUCUUGUCUCGACUGACUUAUUCUUCAAUCUUCUACCUGUGGCAGACUGAGCAGCAGUGACAGUACCCAGGCCACUACUAUGAAGUGGUUACAGCGUUGGGUUGCACCGCUUCGGUGCGCCCGAAGGGGGCAGCAGAUCGCAUAGUGGCGGUCCAUUGUCAUGGCCACGAUCAUAUAGGAGGAAGCGAACAUGCCGAGGACCUGGAGGUACUUCACCAGUCGACACAGGAAAUCCGGACCAGGGAAACGGCCCCUGGCGUCCCAGACCAGCUGCGGCAGCACCUGGAGAAGAACAACAGGCGGAGAGAAGAGGGAGAUCUGUCCCGAGGUCGCAGUACGUUGUGGAAAGAAAAUGAAAAAAAGAUUCCAACUUUUGCAAAUUCAAUGUUAAACUUUUUUUUUUUUAUAGUUUUGGUUCCAACAGAGGUUGAAAAACAAUGUAUGUGUACAAGGGUUAGUCACAAUGUCCUAAGACAAAUUGUAACAGUUUUAUAGCAGUAUCGUAGACAAACGAUUUACUUAAUCAGGUUUUUCAACCCUGGAAAAUUAAUGAAUAACUAAUGAACAUAAAUUACAUUUUUUAAUAUUUUUUGUCAAAGCUUUUAUACUGUCAUGAAUUAAUAUAUUUGUAAUUUUAAUUUUAUUUAUUUUCCACUGCGUACUGUGUUACCUGAAACAGAGCAACCACCAGGUCAGCCAGACACAGGUUAAGCAUGAAUUGGUGAAGUGGAUUCCGGUGUCGUCUCCGCUGCCGCAGCAGCACCACCAGCACCAGGCUGUUCCCCAGCAGGGCCAUCACCAAGAUGACGGCCAGUACCACCACCUCGGCCACAGCUAGCAGGUUGUCACGCUCCACAUCUGUGCCGUUAGCACUCGCCGCAGUCAGUGGCUUGACAGAUCCAUGGAUGGACGAGUCUGUUACCGUUGAGGCUGACAUAAUAUCUAGGACAGACACAAGUACAUGGAAUCAACGUCCACACUGGUUCACCAGCAUAGUGUUUAAUUAAACCAGCACACAUUAGGAUAACCACUGGCGACCUCCUUACAGCACUCCAGGAAGAGGCCGUCACUCAGCUUCCUGCUCCAGGGACCGCAGACACAUUAGCAUGUGGCCACAGGUUGUUUUCCGUACACAGAAAAAG